UCAAGCUACUAAGGGCACAUGGGGGAUGUCUUGGCGUCAGAAGGCGAUGACGGGCGUGGAAGACUGCGAAAAUUUUGGGGUAGCUGUCAAACAAGCGUUGAUCCCGAAGUUCCCUAAUUAGUUAGCACUGAAUCCAUAGGUGUUAACGGCCAACCCGGAGAACUGAAACAUCUCAUUAUCCGGUGGAAAAGAAGGAAAAAUCGAUUUCGUAAGUAGCGGCGAGCGAAAGCGAAACAGCCCAAACCGCGUAGGUUUUCCUAUGUGGGGUUGUAGGGUCCUUCACAUGAGAGUUACAAAAUCAGUGAAUAGCAGAAUGGUCAAGGAAAAGCCAGCCACAGAGGGUGACAGCCCCGUAAGCGGCAUUCAACUGAUCUCUCGAAGGAAACCUGAGUAAGCUGGGUCACGUGAAACCCCGGCUGAAUCUACGGGGACCAUCCCGUAAGGCUAAAUACUCUCUGACGACCGAUAGCAAACUCAGUAGGGCGACUGAAAGAUGAGAAGAACCCCGUCGAGGGGAGGAAUGUGAACCUGAAACCAUGUGCUUACAAGCUGUCGGAGCACUAUGCCCUUCGGGGAAUGUGUGACGGCGUGCCUUUUGCAUAAUGAUCCGGCGAGUUACCGUCAGCGGCUCGGUUAAGGCCUUACGGGCCGAAGCCAUAGGGAAACCGAGUCUGAAUAGGGCGACAAUUGGUCGCUGGUGGUAGACCCGAAACUGCGUGAACUACCCAUGGGCAGGAUGAAGCGCGGGUUAUACUGCGUGGAGGUCCGAACUCGUCUGGGUUGAAAACCGGUGGGAUGACCUGUGGGGAGGAGUGAAAGUCUAAUCAAACGCAGAGAUAGCUGGUUCUCACCGAAAUAUAUUGAGGUAUAGCCUCGAGAAACUACGUUGUGGGGGUAGAGAGACUGAAUUGGUAUGGGGGUCAUUCCCGACUACCCGGCCGAGCCAAACUCCGAAUACCAUAACGACUAUCUCGGGAGACAGACGGCGAGGGAUAAGCUUCGUCGUCGAGAGGGAAACAACCCAGACCAUCAGCUAAGGUCCCAAAUUAAUACUUAGUCACUAAGGAAGUGACGUUACUGUGACAGCCAGGAUGUUGGCUUAGAAGCAGCCACCAUUUAAAAAGUGCGUAACAGCUUACUGGUCGAGUAAUGUCGCGCCGAUAAUGAACGGGAGUAAGUAUUAAACCGAAGCUAUGGAAUCGAAAGAUUGGUAGGUGAGCGCUGUACAGCAGAUACAAGCCGCACGGUAACGAGCGGUGCCGGGCUGUACAGGUGAUUAUGCCGGAAUGAGUAACGAUAAAACAGGUGAGAAUCCUGUUCGCCGAAAGCCUAAGGUUUCCUGGGGAAGGGAAAUCCGCCCAGGGUUAGCCGGUACCUUAGUCGAGGCCGAAAGGCGUAGACGAUGGAUAGCAGGUCAACAUUCCUGCGCUGCUAAUGUGAACUGAUGGAGGGACGGCGUCUGAAUAGUGAGCGGUACGACUAGAAAUGUCCGUGGAGUACUCUGAGGUGUGGAAUAGGUAAAUCCGUCCACAUAAGCCAAGGGGUAAGCCCGAGAGCGUUUAUGUUCUCGAAGUCACUUGCAGGACGUCCAAGAAAAUCUUCUAAGGGUUAAAGCAUUAGUAACCGUACUAAAACUGACACAGGUAGGCGAGACGAGUAGUCUCAGGCGCUCGGGAGAACGGUGGUUAAGGAACUCUGCAAAUUCACCCCGUAACUUCGGGAUAAGGGGUGCCUUCUUUAUUGAAGGCCACAGAAAAUCGGCUCUAGCAACUGUUUAUCAAAAACACAGGACUCUGCCAACUCGUAAGAGGAUGUAUAGAGUCUGACGCCUGCCCGGUGCCAGAAGGUUAAGGAAGAGGGUUAGCCGCAAGGCGAAGCUCGCAACCGAAGCCCUGGUAAACGGCGGCCGUAACUAUGACGGUCCUAAGGUAGCGAAGUUCCUUGUCGGGUAAGUUCCGACCUGCAUGAAUGGCGUAAUGACUGGAGCACUGUCUCAACCACCGACCCGGUGAAAUUGUAGUCGUGGUGAAGAUGCCACGUUCCCAUGGUUAGACGGAAAGACCCCAUGAACCUUUACUGUAGGCUGAUAUUGGGUUGAGGUACGUUUUGUGUAGGAUAGGUGGGAGGCUGUGAACUGGUAGCGCCAGCUAUCAGGGAGCCAACGUUGAAAUACCACCCUGAAUGUGCUUUAAUUCUAACCCCAUCCCGUGAAUCCGGGUGGGGAACAGUGUCAGUUGGGCAGUUUGACUGGGGCGGUCUCCUCCAAAAAAGUAACGGAGGAGUCCAAAGGUACCCUCAGCCUGGUUGGCAAUCAGGCGCCGAGCGCAAAGGUAGAAGGGUGCUUAACUGCGAGACUUAUCAGUCGAGCAGAUACGAAAGUAGGGCUUAGUGAUCCGGUGAUUCCGUAUGGAAGGGUCAUCGCUCAUCAGAUAAAAGGUACUCUGGGGAUAACAGGCUGAUCGCUACCGAGCGUCCACAGCGGCGUAGCGGUUUGGCACCUCGAUGUCGGCUCAUCACAUCCUGGGGGUGAAGAAGCUCCCAAGGGUUUGGCUGUUCGCCAAUGAAAGUGGUACGUGAGCUGGGUUCAGACCGUCGUGAGACAGGUCGGUCCCUAUCUGCCAUGGGCGUACGAAAUUUGAGGAGGAUCUUCUUUAGUACGAGAGGAUUUAGAAGGACGCACCUCUGGUGUACCAGUUGUCACGCUAGUGGCACGGCUGGAUAGCUAAGUGCGGAAAGGAUAAACGCUGAAAGCAUCUAAGCGUGAAGCCCUCUCCAAGAUUAGAUUUCGUAGGCUUUGCCGAAAGUCCCCUCGAAGAUGACGAGGUUGAUAGGCCAGAUGUGUACGCGUAGUAAUAUGCUUAGCUAACUGGUACUAAUGGACGAACGCUU
rnacentral:rRNA from 1 species